rnacentral:rRNA from 1 species
AUUGAACGCUGGCGGCAGGCCUAACACAUGCAAGUCGAGCGAGCGGCGGACGGGUGAGUAAUGUCUGGGAAACUGCCUGAUGGAGGGGGAUAACUACUGGAAACGGUAGCUAAUCCUGCAUACCAUCAGACGUGCCCAGAUGGGACUAGCUGGUAGGUGGGGUAACGGCCCACCUAGGCGACGAUCCCUAGCUGGGCUGAGAGGAUGACCAGCCACACUGGAACUGAGACACGGUCCAGACUCCUACGGGAGGCAGCAGUGGGGAAUAUUGCACAAUGGGCGCAAGCCUGAUGCAGCCAUGCCGCGUGUGUGAAGAAGGCCUUCGGGUUGUAAAGCACUUUAAGCGGGGAGGCGUUACCCGCAGAAGAAGCACCGGCUAACUCCGUGCCAGCCGCCGCGGUAAUUC